rnacentral:rRNA from 1 species
AUUAAACGCUGGCGGCAUGCCUUACGCAUGCAAGUCGAACGGCAGCACGGGGGCAACCCUGGUGGCGAGUGGCGAACGGGUGAGUAAAGCAUCGGAACGUGCCCUGGAGUGGGGGAUAACGUAGCGAAAGUUACGCUAAUACCGCAUAUUCUGUGAGCAGGAAAGCAGGGGAUCGCAAGACCUUGCGCUCUGGGAGCGGCCGAUGUCGGAUUAGCUAGUUGGUGGGGUAAAGGCCUACCAAGGCGACGAUCCGUAGCGGGUCUGAGAGGAUGAUCCGCCACACUGGGACUGAGACACGGCCCAGACUCCUACGGGAGGCAGCAGUGGGGAAUUUUGGACAAUGGGCGAAAGCCUGAUCCAGCCAUGCCGCGUGAGUGAAGAAGGCCUCGG